rnacentral:misc_RNA from 1 species
GCAAACUUGGUCAUUUAGAGGAAGUAAAAGUCGUAACAAGGUUUCCGUAGGUGAACCUGCGGAAGGAUCAUUAUCGAGUUUUGAACAGGUUGUAGCUGGCCUCUUAUCGAGGUAUGUGCACGCCUGGCUCAUCCACUCUUUAACCUCUGUGCACUUUUCAUAGAACAGACAAAGGCCGAGAAUUUAUUUUCUCAGUUCGAUGUUUGCUCUGUGUAAUUUUUCUUACCAACUCUUGUUGUAAAUGAAUGUCAUCUUGCGGAUAACGCAACAAUAAAAUAACUUUCAGCAACGGAUCUCUUGGCUCUCGCAUCGAUGAAGAACGCAGC